UGACCUCAAAUUCCCGGAUAUUGUCCUUAGCGGGUAGGGUUAUUGUAGAUGCACUGCCAACAUUUAAGUAUGACUUCCAAUGUGAAUACACUAAUAGCACAGUCCCAUUCUGGAUGUCAUCUUUAAGUUCUCCUGGCACAUGUUGUACAUAGUAGAAUUGUCUACUGAACCGGUGCGGGCUAUAAGGUUGGAUAACUCGGUAGUUUUCCUCUCGUAGAGAAACGUAUCUCAAACGAAGGCAUAUCAAAUGCGCAAAGUCUUCUUUGGAAAUAUGGUCUUCAUCAGUCAGUCGUUUGCACUCUGAAAACACUCUUGCCAGAUGACUCAUUUCU
rnacentral:lncRNA from 1 species